CGGCUCCAUCAUAGAAGGACCAGUGUGUUAUCUAUUUUUGGCAGUCUACGACAGUAUACAUUUUGAGUAGAGGAUACUUCCUGUUGCACAUCUGCUUCAUGUUGCAUCACUCAUGCCCUGAACGCUCAAGAAUUAAGCGCGCGUGACCUGAGCACCCAGGAAUUAAGCCAGCUGUCCCAACCACGUGAGAGCCAUGCAGAAUUUGGAACACCAUGAGGCCAGGGGAUUACAGUGAAAUAGCUGCCACCUACCAGACAGAUCCGACUUAGUACUAUAAAGGACCGAGAUUAUAAGAAGGGUCGCAGAUGAAGGAAGGGCCUCAGAUUUUGACUCACCAUCUCAGCAGCAACAGUCCCCCUUUCCCCUAUCUCAUGGAGACUGCUCCUGCUCCAUGUGUUCAAUUGCUCUCUCUCUCUCUCUCUUUCUCUCUCUCUCUCUCCAUUGUGCUUUCCCUCAAUAGACCACCAUUGAAGAUGAAUAGGCCCAGGCUAUCAGGUAUCUUCCACGUGCCUCAUUGCUGGAAGCGGAUUCUUGUAUCAUGACUCUGGGAGUCCAUCAUAUCUCUGCUGUCUUUAUUUCCACCGAGACUGAGUAAUGUCAGUUCACUCCAGUCUACAACAGCGAGGCG